rnacentral:rRNA from 1 species
AUACUGGCCGGAGACCGAUAGCGCACAAGUAGAGUGAUCGAAAGAUGAAAAGCACUUUGAAAAGAGAGUUAAACAGCACGUGAAAUUGUUGAAUGGGAAGCGUUUGCGACCAGACUCGCCCGCGGGGUUCAGCCGGCAUUCGUGCCGGUGUACUUCCCCGUGGGCGGGCCAGCGUCGGUUUGGGCGGCCGGUCAAAGGCCCUCGGAAUGUAUCACCUCUCGGGGUGUCUUAUAGCCGAGGGUGCAAUGCGGCCUGCCUGGACCGAGGAACGCGCUUCGGCUCGGACGCUGGCGUAAUGGUCGUAAAUGACCCGUCUUGAAACACGGACC